UACGUAGGCAGCAAGCGUUGUUCGGAGUUACUGGGCGUAAAGGGUGCGUAGGCGGCUAUUUAAGUUUGGUGUGAAAUCUCCCGGCUCAACCGGGAGGGUGCGCCGAAUACUGAGUGGCUAGAGUGCGGGAGAGGAAAGUGGAAUUCCUGGUGUAGCGGUGAAAUGCGUAGAUAUCUGGAGGAACACCGGUGGCGAAGGCGGCAUCCUGGACCGACACUGACGCUGAGGAGCGAAAGCCAGGGGAGCAAACGGG
rnacentral:rRNA from 1 species